rnacentral:rRNA from 1 species
GAUUGAGUGCUAGCAGUAUCCAGAGUACCAGCGGACACGUGAAACCCGCUGGGAAGAUGGGGGGACCAUCCUCCAAGCCUAAAUACUACUCAGUGACCGAUAGUGGAGCAGUACCGUGAGGGAAAGGUGAAAAGUACCCCGGGAGGGGAGUGAAAGAGAACCUGAAACCUUGUGCCUACAAGCACCGAGAGCACGUUAAAGUGUGAUCGGGUACUUUUUGUAGAACGGUCCGGCGAGUUAAUAUUUGCAGCGAGGUUAAGUAACUGGAGUUACGGAGCCGCAGCGAGAGCGAGUCUGAAUAGGGCGUAUGAAGUUGCAGGUAUUAGACCCGAAACCGGGUGACCUAUCCAUGAGCAGGCUGAAGCGGUGGUAAGACACCGUGGAGGGCCGCACCCACGUCUGUUGAAAAAGCCGGGGAUGACUUGUGGAUAGCGGAGAAAUUCCAAUCGAACUCGGAGAUAGCUGGUUCUCCCCGAAAUAGCUUUAGGGCUAGCGUUAUUUUAGAUUACCGGAGGUAAAGCACUGAAUGGUCUAGGGGCCGCGAGGUUACCAAAGCCUAUCAAACUCUGAAUGCCGGAUAAUUGAUGAAUAGCAGUCAGACUGUGUGAGAUAAGUCUCAUAGUCAAAAGGGAAACAGCCCAGAUCUACAGCUAAGGUCCCAAAUGAACACUAAGUGGAAAAUGAUGUGAAACUGCGAAGACAACCAGGAUGUUGGCUUAGAAGCAGCCACUCAUUCAAAGAGUGCGUAAUAGCUCACUGGUCGAGUGGUUUUGCGCAGAAAAUGUAACGGGGCUAAGUGUUCAACCGAAGCUUAGGCAUUGUACUUUGUACAUUGGGUAGGGGAGCGUCGUAUGCGGGGCGAAGUCAGAGCGGAAGCACUGGUGGACUGCAUACGAGUGAGAAUGCCGGAAUAAGUAGCGAGAAUUAUGUGAGAAUCAUAAUGGCCGAAAAUCUAAGGUUUCCUGGGGAAGGUUCGUCCGCCCAGGGUUAGUCGGGAGCUAAGCUCAGGCCGAAAGGCGUAGGCGAUGCACAUACGGUAGAAAUUCCGUAACCACCGAACUUUAAGCUAGAGGGACGCUUUCUUUAAGGUUAUCCCGGGCGAUGGUUGCCCCGGGCGUAAGGGACCGAAAUUUAGUAGGGAAGUAACUGGCGAGAGAGACGAGAAAAGCUCUAGUGUAUACUAAGGUGCCCGUACCGCAAACCGACACAGGUAGAAGGGAUGAGUAUUCUAAGGCCAACGGGAGAAGGGUUGUUAAGGAACUCGGCAAAUUGGCCCCGUAACUUCGGGAUAAGGGGCGCCUGCGAGAGCAGGCCGCAGUGAAAAGGCCCAAGCGACUGUUUAGCAAAAACACAGCUCUCUGCUAAAUCGAAAGAUGACGUAUAGGGGGUGACGCCUGCCCGGUGCUGGAAGGUUAAGGGGAGUGCUUAGCGCAAGCGAAGGUGCGAACUUAAGCCCCAGUAAACGGCGGCCGUAACUAUAACGGUCCUAAGGUAGCGAAAUUCCUUGUCAGGUAAGUUCUGACCCGCACGAAUGGCGUAACGA